CCUACGGGGGGCAGCAGUGGGGAAUAGUGCGCAAUGGGCGAAAGCCUGACGCAGCGACGCCGCGUGAGGGAUGAAGGUCUUCGGAUCGUAAACCUCUGUCAGCAGGGAAGAACGGUCACUGGGCUAAUCAGCAGUGAAUUGACGGUACCUGCAAAGGAAGCACCGGCUAACUCCGUGCCAGCAGCCGCGGUAAUACGGAGGGUGCGAGCGUUAAUCGGAAUUACGGGGCGGAAAGCGCUCGUAGGCGGUAGGUCAAGUCACGGGUGAAAGCCCCGCGCUCAACGUGGGAACUGCCUUUGAAACUUGCAAACUGGAGUGUGUGAUAGGAUAGUGGAAUUCCAGGUGUA
rnacentral:rRNA from 1 species